UAACUAUAUAAAAAUUAAAAUAAGCAAACAUGAGAUCAUAUAAAAAUACAACAUAUAAAAGCAACAGGAUUAGACAAAAAUGACAUACCUUUAGCACAAUUAUAUGGAGAAACCUGAACAAAUUAUGUUAAAAAAAGGAAUUCAAAAAAUAGAGUAUAACUUAAAUAUCAAUAAAACAAGAUACAAACAAACAAAUAAAUACAGAUAAUACAUAUGACAAACAUACAUCAGUGGUAGAUUGAUGAAGUUUGAACUGUGAAGGAUGAACUUCUUCAAUAUCCGUAUCAAACUUAGCUGAAAAAAUAUAAAAGAAGACAAGUGAAAACCAAAAAUAUAAGAAAAAUAAGUAAAAAGGAAGAUUAUAGAAAAAAGGAAAGUCAAAACAACAUAAAACCAUACCUUUACCAUGACGAACAGAAGGCAUAUGACCAACUUUAGGAAUAACAGGAG
rnacentral:lncRNA from 1 species